CCGACCACCCACCACAAACGAACCCUUUUGGAUUCCCCACCUUAGCAGCAAACAACCGCUGGGGCUGUUUUUUUUUUUUUUUUGCAAGUGGGCAACUCCUGGAACUGCGCGACUUUAUGGAUCACGAAGCGACCCGCUUUGCGUCGGAAGCAACAGUUUGACGUCAGCUUCUUUUCUCUCUCUCUUUUUUUUUUUUUGGAUCCGGGCUCGGAAAGGAGAUGAUGAAAUCAGCCGAGGAGGACGCGUACGGCUACACGCCCAACGUCAGCCUCUCCCUGCCGCUGGGCAACCAUCGCCUGGCCCCGCAGUACCUGAGCCUCCAGUCCAGCCCCGUCAUCUCGGUCUCGGAGGCCCCCGUCUUCGACGGCCGGGACGACCUGAGCGCCGCCGGCUACUACUCCGUCCGCCCGAACGGGGCGCCCGCCCUGGAGAGCCCCCGCAUCGAGAUCACGGCCUACGGUCAGUUCCCCGAAGACGCGGCGGAGCAGGACAGCCUUCCGGCGGCCAAGCGCCUCAACUCCGUCGUCACGUUGACGCUCCCCAGUGCCGACGGUUACCGGGACCCCAGCUGCCUGAGUCCCGCCAGCAGCGUCUCGUCCCGCAGUUGCCAGUCGGAGGCGUCGUCCUACGAGUCGGGCUUCUCGUACAACUGUGACCAAUCGCCGCAGAACUCCCCCUGGCAGUCGCCCUCGGUCUCCCCUAAGGGUUCCACCCUGGCCCUGCCGGGCGGUUCCCCGAGGCAGUCCCCCGCAACGUCACCCCGCACAAGCGUGACGGAUGACCCCUUCGUCGGCCGGGGAGGCUCCAGGCCCAACUCCCCUUGCGGCGCAAAGAGGAAGUACAGCUUCAACGGCGGCGGGGCGGCGCACAAGCACUACCAGCCCUCGCCCAACCGCUCGCUUGGCCCGUCACCCCAAACCUCGCCCCGCCUCAGCGUCACCGAGGAGUCCUGGCUGCCCAACACCAACCAAUACACCAACUCGGCCAUCUUGGCAGCCAUCAACGCUCUGAGCACGGACGGCAUGGCCGACCUGGCCGAAGGCAUACCCGUGAAAGCCCGGCGGACGGGCUUGGAGCACGGCCCCACCGUCAGCCUCAAGCUGGAGCCCGGCGGAGAGGAGCUGACGUCCGGGGAGCUGUGUCGAGACGAGCGCUCCUCCAACCGCAUUCCCCUGAAGAAGGAGGUAUACUGCGGAGGGUUCCUCGACGUGCCUCAGCACCAGUACUCCUGGUCUAAACCCAAGCAGUACGUCAGCCCGUCCCUGCCGGCCCUCGACUGGCAGCUGCCAUCCAGCUCGGGACCCUACAGCCUACAGAUCGAAGUGCAGCCCAAAUCCCACCACCGGGCCCACUACGAGACCGAAGGCAGCAGGGGGGCGGUGAAGGCUCUGGGCGGAGGACACCCCAUCGUACAGCUGCGCGGCUACGUGUCCAGCGAGCCGCUGACGCUGCAGCUGUUCAUCGGCACGGCGGACGAGCGGCUGCUGCGGCCGCACGCCUUCUACCAGGUGCACCGCAUCACCGGCAAGACCGUGUCCACGCCGAGCCACGAGGCGCUCUGCAACAACAACACCAAAGUGCUGGAGAUUCCGCUGCUGCCCGACAACAACAUGCGAGCCAUGAUCGACUGCGCGGGCAUCCUGAAGCUGCGCAACUCCGACAUUGAGCUGCGCAAGGGCGAGACCGACAUCGGGCGCAAGAACACGCGGGUGCGGAUGGUGUUCCGGGUGCACAUCAACCAGGCCGGCGGCAGGACCGUGUCCCUGCAGGCCGCGUCCAACCCCAUCGAGUGCUCCCAGAGGUCGGCUCAGGAACUGCCCCUGGUGGACAAGCAGAGCGCGGAGAGCAGCGCUGCCCCCGGAGGCCAGACCAUGAAACUGGACGGCCACAACUUCCAGGCCGACUCCAAGGUGGUGUUUGUGGAGAAGGCUCAAGACGGGCAUCACCUUUGGGAGACCGAGGCCAAGGUGGACAGAGACGCCUCCAAGCACAACAUGCUCCUGGUGGAAAUCCCGCCUUACCGCAACCAGCGUCCCUCCGCGCCGGCGCACGUCAACUUUUACGUCUGCAACGGCAAAAGGAAACGGAGUCAGUACCAGCGCUUCACCUACCUGCCUUCCACAGGUCCUUACUUGGAGAAAAAAAAGGUGGCAAAGAAUCCCGUCCAGCCCAGCCAGCAUUUAGUGUGUCAAGCCGUUGUUUCUCACGUACGCUGGACGCGGCGGGAGCGAGCGGGGCCCAAAGAAAACAAGCGUCUGUUCUCCCGCUGCUUCAACGCUUCUAUGAGUCAUCAGACACAAGUUCCGACCAUCAAAACGGAGCCGCGGGACGACUACGACGCCCCCCUGGCGUGCGCCCCCCUCGGGCCCGGCCUCUCCGCGCACCCCAAGCCCUACUCGCCCCCUCAGCUGACGUACACGCAGCAAAGAUCGGCACCCAAGCCCAACCCGGGCUCCUCCCCGAGCACCAGCCCCAAACUACACGACUUGCCGCCGCCCUUCCCCGCGCCCCACGUCUCCAUCAUCCAGGAGACCCCCGGCCGCUUCCAACCGCCAUCCCAGCCGUCUACGCCCGAAGCGCCCUUCUCACCCGGCGGCAGCCCCGCCGAGGCGCCGGAGAGCGGGGGGCGGGCCUCGGUGCGGGACGACGGCGGCCCCCCGGCGUUGGGCGUCAGCAUCAAGGAGGAACCGCAGGAACUGGACCAGAUGUACCUCGAUGAUGUUUGCUCUGUCGCCACGGCAACUCAACCAGGAAGAAGCGUUGUCGAAGCGACGGUCGGCCAAAGCCUGUGGCCCGGGGCGUCACUCUGGACUAUUUUCGGGGCCAUCGAUACAUUGACGUUUCUUCUCGGACGGACGGUCCGCUUCAAACGUGGCGGCGCGCUGGAAAGUAGGCCACGGCGAACAAACAGUUAGCUGGCUGGCUGCAAUCACGGAGAAAGAAAAAAAUACACAAAUUCAAAUCAUAAUUCCCUCCACCUUGACAAUUCUCAACGAGAUCAUCAGGAACGACCUGUCCAGCAUCUCCGUCCACAGCCACGCGUAGAACAACAAGUUGAAACGUUGCACGAGCGGCGAGGGGAACGCAGCGCGUCGCCAACAUCUGCCGUGUUUCUCGGGUCUUUUCCUCCGUUUCCAUUUCAGAAAAAGGACCAAACAUGCUUUCCUCUUCAUCCUGUGCUGCACUUUCAAAAACAGCAUCCAGUGCCUCAUCGUUAUGCCAUGUUUAUACAAAUAGAAAUAUUAGUCCAGAAAAGUGCCUUUUAACAACCAAAUACUUUCGACACUCACUCAAUUGCUUUUAGAUCAUUUUAAGGAAGCAUUUUCAAAAACGAAGCACUCAAGCUGUGGUAUGACGCUUUCAUGCACUUACUGUACAGUUUUUAAUGUAUUUUUACACGUUUAGGCAAUCGACUAUUCUUAUUCCUACCAAAGAACAAAUCAUCUCAAAACCAGCGAAGCUUGACUUCCAAAGAAGCAACGACUAACAGCUGCAAUAUUAGUACAUAGUAAUAUUUUUCAUAUUUAUUUCGCUUGCAUGUGCUCUGUGUACCCAUGUUUAUCAUGCAGCCUGUUACUUAUUGAGUUACUUUUUUUUUUUUUUACACACCGCAUGUAUUUAAGAGCCUUAACCCAUCUCAUUGAAGUUGACCAAAGAAUAAUCUUUAGGCCAUUUGUUAAUAUAAUACACAUUAUGUUGGAUUAGGAUGUUUAUUUGUCAGUAAAUCAUCCAAACAAAUAGCUGAGGGAAUGUUGCUUGAUUAUAUAUUUGUUCUUUUUUUUUUUUAAAUGUGGACGUGGCAACAAUUUGUUCAAGGCAAUAAAGUACUUUUUAUACGAA